rnacentral:rRNA from 1 species
GGGCUUGACAUCCCACGAACCUGCCUGAAAGGGCGGGGUGCCCGCAAGGGAGCGCGGAGACAGGUGGUGCAUGGCUGUCGUCAGCUCGUGUCGUGAGAUGUUGGGUUAAGUCCCGCAACGAGCGCAACCCUCACCCCUAGUUGCCACCGGGUCAUGCCGAGCACUCAAGGAGAACUGCCAGCGUCAAGCUGGAGGAAGGCGGGGAUGACGUCAAGUCAUCAUGCCCCUUACGCCCUGGGCUACACACGUGCUACAAUGGCCGGUACAAAGGGAUGCGAGACCGCGAGGUGGAGCUAAUCCCAAAAAGCUGGUCUAAGUUCAGAUUGCAGUCUGCAACUCGACUGCAUGAAGGAGGAAUCGCUAGUAAUCGCGCAUCAGCCCGGCGCGGUGAAUACGUUCCCGGGCCUUUACACACCGCCCGUCACACCACGAAAGCUGUCUGUACUCGAAGUCGCUGAG